CCUACGGGAGGCAGCAGUGGGGAAUAUUGCGCAAUGGGCGAAAGCCUGACGCAGUGACGCCGCGUGAGGGAUGAAGGUCUUCGGAUCGUAAACCUCUGUCAGCAGGGAAACACGGUCACUGUGCUAAUCAGCAGUGAAUUGACGGGACCUGCAAAGGACGCACCGGCUAACUCCGUGCCAGCAGCCGCGGGAAUACGGAGGGUGCGAGCGUUAAUCGGAAUUACUGGGCGGAAAGCGCUCGUAGGCGGUAUGUCAAGUCUAGGGUGAAAGCCCCGCGCUCAACGGGGGAACUGCCUUUGAAACUGGCAACCUGGAGUGUGUGAGAGGAUAGUGGAAUUCCAGGUGUAGGAGGGAAAUCCGUAGAUAUCUGGAGGAACAUCAGUGGCGAAGGCGACUAUCUGGCACAUAAUUGACGCUGAGGAGCGAAAGCGUGGGUAGCAAACAGGAUUAGAUACCCUAGUAGUC
rnacentral:rRNA from 1 species